UACGUAGGUGGCAAGCGUUGUCCGGAUUUAUUGGGCGUAAAGCGCGCGCAGGCGGUCCGUUAAGUUCGAGGUGAAAUCUCCCGGCUCAACUGGGAGGGGUCUUCGGAUACUGGCGGACUUGAGGAGAGCAGAGGUGAGUGGAAUUCUGGGUGUAGUGGUGAAAUGCGUAGAUAUCCAGAGGAACACCAGUGGCGAAGGCGGCUCACUGGGCUCCACCUGACGCUGAGGCGCGAAAGCGUGGGGAGCAAACGGG
rnacentral:rRNA from 1 species